AGAGUUUGAUCCUGGCUCAGGAUGAACGCUGGCGGCGUGCCUAAUACAUGCAAGUCGAGCGAACGGACGAGAAGCUUGCUUCUCUGAUGUUAGCGGCGGACGGGUGAGUAACACGUGGAUAACCUACCUAUAAGACUGGGAUAACUUCGGGAAACCGGAGCUAAUACCGGAUAAUAUUUUGAACCGCAUGGUUCAAAAGUGAAAGACGGUCUUGCUGUCACUUAUAGAUGGAUCCGCGCUGCAUUAGCUAGUUGGUAAGGUAACGGCUUACCAAGGCAACGAUGCAUAGCCGACCUGAGAGGGUGAUCGGCCACACUGGAACUGAGACACGGUCCAGACUCCUACGGGAGGCAGCAGUAGGGAAUCUUCCGCAAUGGGCGAAAGCCUGACGGAGCAACGCCGCGUGAGUGAUGAAGGUCUUCGGAUCGUAAAACUCUGUUAUUAGGGAAGAACAUAUGUGUAAGUAACUGUGCACAUCUUGACGGUACCUAAUCAGAAAGCCACGGCUAACUACGUGCCAGCAGCCGCGGUAAUACGUAGGUGGCAAGCGUUAUCCGGAAUUAUUGGGCGUAAAGCGCGCGUAGGCGGUUUUUUAAGUCUGAUGUGAAAGCCCACGGCUCAACCGUGGAGGGUCAUUGGAAACUGGAAAACUUGAGUGCAGAAGAGGAAAGUGGAAUUCCAUGUGUAGCGGUGAAAUGCGCAGAGAUAUGGAGGAACACCAGUGGCGAAGGCGACUUUCUGGUCUGUAACUGACGCUGAUGUGCGAAAGCGUGGGGAUCAAACAGGAUUAGAUACCCUGGUAGUCCACGCCGUAAACGAUGAGUGCUAAGUGUUAGGGGGUUUCCGCCCCUUAGUGCUGCAGCUAACGCAUUAAGCACUCCGCCUGGGGAGUACGACCGCAAGGUUGAAACUCAAAGGAAUUGACGGGGACCCGCACAAGCGGUGGAGCAUGUGGUUUAAUUCGAUGCAACGCGAAGAACCUUA
rnacentral:rRNA from 1 species